rnacentral:rRNA from 1 species
GACGAACGCUGGCGGCGUGCUUAACACAUGCGAGUCGAACGGAAAGGCCCUGCUUUUGUGGGGUGCUCGAGUGGCGAACGGGUGAGUAACAUGUGAGUAACCUGCCCUUGACUUUGGGAUAACUUCAGGAAACUGGGGCUAAUACCGGAUAGGAGCUCCUGCUGCAUGGUGGGGGUUGGAAAGUUUCGGCGGUUGGGGAUGGACUCGCGGCUUAUCAGCUUGUUGGUGGGGUAGUGGCUUACCAAGGCUUUGACGGGUAGCCGGCCUGAGAGGGUGACCGGCCACAUUGGGACUGAGAUACGGCCCAGACUCCUACGGGAGGCAGCAGUGGGGAAUAUUGCACAAUGGGCGGAAGCCUGAUGCAGCAACGCCGCGUGCGGGAUGACGGCCUUCGGGUUGUAAACCGCUUUCGCCUGUGACGAAGCGUGAGUGACGGUAAUGGGUAAAGAAGCACCGGCUAACUACGUG